UGCCUCAGUACGGCGAGUGAAGCGGCAACAGCUCAAAUUUGAAAUCUGGCCCCCUCGGGGCCCGAGUUGUAAUUUGUAGAAGAUGCUUUGGGUGUGGCUCCGGUCUAAGUUCCUUGGAACAGGGCGUCAUAGAGGGUGAGAAUCCCGUAUGCGACUGGCCGCCUCCGCCCGUGUAAAGCUCUUUCGACGAGUCGAGUUGUUUGGGAAUGCAGCUCAAAAUGGGUGGUAAAUUUCAUCUAAAGCUAAAUAUUGGCCAGAGACCGAUAGCGCACAAGUAGAGUGAUCGAAAGAUGAAAAGCACUUUGGAAAGAGAGUUAAACAGUACGUGAAAUUGUUGAAAGGGAAGCGCUUGCAACCAGACUUGCGCGUGGUCAAUCAUCCGGUGUUCUCACCGGGGCACUUGGCCACGCUCAGGCCAGCAUCGGUUCCGGUGGUGGGAUAAAGGCCUUGGGAAUGUGGCUCCUCUCGGGGAGUGUUAUAGCCCUCGGUGCAAUGCCGCCUACCGGGACCGAGGACCGCGCUUCGGCUAGGAUGCUGGCGUAAUGGUUGCAAGCGACCCGUCUUGAAACACGGACCAAGGAGUCUAACAUCUAUGCGAGUGUUUGGGUGUCAAACCCAUACGCGUAAUGAAAGUGAACGGAGGUGAGAACCCUUAAGGGCGCAUCAUCGACCGAUCCUGAUGUCUUCGGAUGGAUUUGAGUAAGAGCAUAGCUGUUGGGACCCGAAAGAUGGUGAACUAUGCCUGANUANGGUGAAGCCANANGAAACUCUGGNGGAGGCUCGCAGCGGUUCUGANGUGCAAAUCGAUCGUCAAAUUUGGGUAUAGGGGCGAAAGACUAAUCGAACCNUCU
rnacentral:rRNA from 1 species